rnacentral:rRNA from 1 species
AACAAACGCUGGCGGCGUGCCUAACACAUGCAAGUCGUACGAGAAAGUCGGCUUCGGCCGGUGAGUAAAGUGGCGCACGGGUGAGUAACGCGUGGAUAAUCUGCCCUCCGGUCAGGAAUAACCAAUCGAAAGGUUGGCUAAUACCCGAUCACACUCUUGCACUGCGGUGCAAUAGUCAAAGAUGGCCUCUGUAUACAAGCUAUCGCCGGGGGAUGAGUCCGCGUACCAUUAGCUGGUUGGUGGGGUAAUGGCCUACCAAGGCGAUGAUGGUUAGCUGGUCUGAGAGGAUGGCCAGCCACACUGGAACUGAGACACGGUCCAGACUCCUACGGGAGGCAGCAGUGAGGAAUCUUGCGCAAUGGGGAAACCCUGACGCAGCAACGCCGCGUGAGUGAGGAAGGCCCUCGGGUCGUAAAGCUCUGUCAGGUGGAAGAAUCGAUGAAGUGAACAACUCCAUCCUGACGGUACCACCAGAGGAAGCACGG